rnacentral:rRNA from 1 species
UCGGGUGGAGCGGCGGACGGGUUAGUAACGCGUGGGAACAUACCCUUUUCUACGGAAUAGCCUUUGGAAACGAAGAGUAAUACCGUAUACGCCCUUCGGGGGAAAGAUUUAUCGGUUAAGGAUUGGCCCGCGUAAGAUUAGAUAGUUGGUGAGGUAACGGCUCACCAAGUCAACGAUCUUUAGCUGGUUUGAGAGGAUGAUCAGCAACACUGGGACUGAGACACGGCCCAGACUCCUACGGGAGGCAGCAGUGGGGAAUCUUAGACAAUGGGCGAAAGCCUGAUCUAGCGAUGCCGCGUGAGUGAUGAAGGUCCUAGGAUCGUAAAGCUCUUUCGCCAGGGAAGAUAAUGACUGUACCUGGUAAAGAAACCCCGGCUAACUCCGUGCCAGCAGCCGCGGUAAUACGGAGGGGGUUAGCGUUGUUCGGAAUUACUGGGCGUAAAGCGCACGUAGGCGGAUUGGUAAGUUAGAGGUGAAAUCCCAGGGCUCAACCCUGGAACUGCCUUUAAUACUGCCAGUCUUG